CCUACGGGAGGCAGCAGUAAGGAAUAUUGGUCAAUGGACGAAAGUCUGAACCAGCCAUGCCGCGUGAAGGAUGACGGCCCUCUGGGUUGUAAACUUCUUUUAUAGGGGACGAAAAAAGGGUAUUCUUACUCACUUGACGGUACCCUAGGAAUAAGCACCGGCUAACUCCGUGCCAGCAGCCGCGGUAAUACGGAGGGUGCAAGCGUUAUCCGGAUUCACUGGGUUUAAAGGGUGCGUAGGUGGGUCUAUAAGUCAGUGGUGAAAUCUCCGAGCUUAACUCGGAAACUGCCAUUGAUACUAUAGGCCUUGAAUUAUCUGGAGGUAAGCGGAAUAUGUCAUGUAGCGGUGAAAUGCUUAGAUAUGACAUAGAACACCAAUUGCGAAGGCAGCUUACUACGGAUAUAUUGACACUGAGGCACGAAAGCGUGGGGAUCAAACAGGAUUAGAUACCCUGUAGUCCACGCCCUAAACUAUGGAUACUCGACAUCAGCGAUACACUGUUGGUGUNUGAGNGAAGANAUAGUAUCCACCGNGAGACGACGCGAGUAGUUAAGAGUAAGAAGUUAGUAGCGNGAGAGNGCGAGGACGACGACGAGGAGGAGG
rnacentral:rRNA from 1 species